AGUGAACGCUGGCGGUAGGCCUAACACAUGCAAGUCGAAUGGCAGCACAGUAAGAGCUUGCUCUUACGGGUGGCGAGUGGCGGACGGGUGAGGAAUACAUCGGAAUCUACUUUUUCGUGGGGGAUAACGUAGGGAAACUUACGCUAAUACCGCAUACGACCUACGGGUGAAAGCAGGGGAUCUUCGGACCUUGCGCGAUUGAAUGAGCCGAUGUCGGAUUAGCUAGUUGGCGGGGUAAAGGCCCACCAAGGCGACGAUCCGUAGCUGGUCUGAGAGGAUGAUCAGCCACACUGGAACUGAGACACGGUCCAGACUCCUACAGGAGGCAGCAGUGGGGAAUAUUGGACAAUGGGCGCAAGCCUGAUCCAGCCAUACCGCGUGGGUGAAGAAGGCCUUCGGGUUGUAAAGCCCUUUUGUUGGGAAAGAAAAGCAGCAGGUUAAUACCCCGCUGUUCUGACGGUACCCAAAGAAUGAGCACCGGCUAACUUCGUG
rnacentral:rRNA from 1 species